ACGUAGUUUGAUCCGUGGCUACGAGAACGACGCUGGCGGCAUGCUUAACACAUGCAAGUCGAACGAGUACCUUCGGGUCUAGUGGCGCACGGGUGCGUAACGCGUGGGAAUCUGCCCUUUGCCACGGAAUAACUCAGAGAAAUUUGUGCUAAUACCGUAUAAUGUCGCAAGACCAAAGAUUUAUCGGCAAAGGAUGAGCCCGCGUAGGAUUAGCUUGUUGGUAAGGUAAGAGCUUACCAAGGCGACGAUCAGUAUCUGGUUUGAGAGGACGAUCAGACACACUGGAACUGAGACACGGUCCAGACUCCUACGGGAGGCAGCAGUGGGGAAUUUUCCGCAAUGGGCGAAAGCCUGACGGAGCAAUACCGCGUGAGGGAAGACUGCCUAUGGGUUGUAAACCUCUUUUUUCAGGGAGGAAUAAAUGACGUGUACCUGAAGAAUAAGCAUCGGCUAACUCCGUG
rnacentral:rRNA from 1 species